rnacentral:lncRNA from 1 species
UUUUAAUCUGUUAUUGCAAGUGUUUUCCCCUGCCAUUUCAUAUGAUAGUAUGUGAUUUGACAUGAAUCUUUUUCAUUGUUUUUAGUGUAUAUCAGAAUUUUUCUUGAAAUUUGUGAUUUCAAGCAUGACGUGACUUUUCUUACAGCCACAAAAGUAUUUUGCUUAGGAUAGAAUGAGAAGUUUCUCAAAAUCUAGAAAAAGGGAUGACUUUGAACUAUAAAGAGUACUUAGUAAGCAUCAUCAACCAACUCUGAUCCUCAUUGGUAACAAGUACCUUGUGCUAAAUUCAUACAUUAAAUAGGGACUUAACCAUAAAUUUGCUUAAUUAAGAGCUCCAACUCUGCAAUUAAAGAAUUUUCAAAAUAUAUAAAUGAAACAGAGUAAAAGAGAAAGUAUAUCGUACCCAUAGAGAUACAAGAUCGAGAAGGGAUAUGGGAAAUGGUGUUGAAGGAGAAUUCAUGAGAUUUUUGAAGACGAAAAGCAGCUAAAAGGAUCAUAGUGCCUGCAGAAACAGCCAUGGCUGUUGCAAAUACAACACCUUGAGAAGUCAACAAAGAAGACAUGAUGUAAAGUUCAAUAAAAAAAGAUGAAGAAAAACUUAGAAGAAAUAUUGGUGGGACUUUCUUGGAGUUUUUUCGAGUUAUAAGUAAGAGAGAUCAAUCAAUGAAGACCAUAGAUAUAAAUAGUGUAAAAACUUUUGGAAUAUUUUGAAUUUAUUAAUCUUCUAGGUGAAAUAAAGUAAUGAGGAGGAAGGAUCAAUUAUUAUUGGUUAAAUUAAUUAUUUUAUUAGUUGGACUUUUUUAUUUUUUGGGUUGUAGAAUGUGGAAGAAGUACUUUUGAUGACGUGCAAAAUGGCUAAUGG